rnacentral:rRNA from 1 species
GAUGAACGCUGGCGGCGUGCCUAAUACAUGCAAGUCGAGCGAACAGAUGAGGAGCUUGCUCCUCUGACGUUAGCGGCGGACGGGUGAGUAACACGUGGAUAACCUACCUAUAAGACUGGGAUAACUUCGGGAAACCGGAGCUAAUACCGGAUAAUAUAUUGAACCGCAUGGUUCAAUAGUGAAAGACGGUUUUGCUGUCACUUAUAGAUGGAUCCGCGCCGCAUUAGCUAGUUGGUAAGGUAACGGCUUACCAAGGCAACGAUGCGUAGCCGACCUGAGGGGGGGAUGGGCCACACAGGAAGUGAGACACGGCCCAGAGACCGAGGGGAGGCAGAAGUAGGGAAUGUACGGAAAAGGGCGAAAGCCUGACGGAGCAACGCCGCGCGAGUGAUGAAGGUCUGCGGAUCGGAAAACUGUGUUAUGAGGGAAGAACAAAUGUGUAAGUAACGAUGCACGUCUGGACGGUACCUAAACAGAAAGCCACGGCUAACUACGG